UACGUAGGGGGCAAGCGUUGUCCGGAAUUAUUGGGCGUAAAGAGCUCGUAGGCGGUUUGUCGCGUCUGCUGUGAAAACUCGGGGCUCAACCCCGAGCUUGCAGUGGGUACGGGCAGACUAGAGUGCGGUAGGGGAGACUGGAAUUCCUGGUGUAGCGGUGGAAUGCGCAGAUAUCAGGAGGAACACCGGUGGCGAAGGCGGGUCUCUGGGCCGUAACUGACGCUGAGGAGCGAAAGCAUGGGGAGCGAACAGGA
rnacentral:rRNA from 1 species